UACGUAGGGGGCAAGCGUUGUCCGGAUUCAUUGGGCGUAAAGAGCGUGUAGGCGGCCAGGUAGGUCGGUUGUGAAAACUGGAGGCUCAACCUUCAGAGGUCGACCGAAACCAUCUGGCUAGAGUCCGGGAGAGGAGAGUGGAAUUCCUGGUGUAGCGGUGAAAUGCGCAGAUAUCAGGAAGAACACUCGUGGCGAAAGCGGCUCUCUGGAACGGUACUGACGCUGAGACGCGAAAGCGUGGGUAGCAAACAGG
rnacentral:rRNA from 1 species